UGAAAAGAAAGAAGCUUCUCCGUUCGCACGCAGACGCAGCGACUCGCAGGCAGAUAGAUGCGGCCAGGCCAGGCGCCCGGCACAGCUGGAGCGCUUUGCUGCGCCUGCACGGCUCGGCUCGGCUGGCCCUGGCCUGCCUCUGCUCUGCCUGCCUGGCACACCACUGCCGCUCGCCUGCUCCAGCGCAGCGGCAGGGCACGUGCGCGCGCCAGCCAGCCCGGCGCGAUCCGUCUAAUCGCCGCGAUUGGGAGGGACCUGCUCUGGCUGUGGCUGGAAUCCGAGCCGGUGGGCGAUGGCGCACAACUUGCACUGCAGUACUAGUACGAGCCACGUGGGUCCCGUCCCGCCCGGCCCCAUUAGCUGUGCCCAGCCUGGACGGAGUACGGACGGACACCAGGAGUCCAGGACAUGGACACUCGCACUCCGCUCCGUCCUCUCUCGCGUAACAGCGCACGCCUCUCAUCCUUCGCUGCCUCGUGGGGGCCACAGGCGGGUGCUCUGGUCUCUGUGGGCGACGCCGAGCUGGCUGACCGGACCGGAUUAGUUAACGGCAGCCGGGGAAUGGAAUUAACGCGGCGUGUUUUUAUAAUUGAGGUGGCGGAUACCAUACGUGCAGGCCCGCCGUGGACGGAGCUGCGGCUGCUGGACAGCACAGCGUCGGCCUUUUUCUUUUUCUCUCGGUACUAGUACAAAGUACAAAGAUAAAAAUACAUUUGUUUUCGAGAUCAGCGAUGAGUCAUCGCCAUGCAGUGCGCGCUGUUCACUGCACGUCCACUCCAGCAGUGGGCAGUGGCCCGCUGGUGGCGUUCUCCCGCUGAGUCAGCCGAGUCCGCGCCCGUGCGUCUCUGUCUCGUGACGAAUCCGGCCCUCUGUGGCUGUCACAUGACGGAUCCGGCCCUCGGACACCCUGGAUUAGCUCCAGUAUUUAAAGAAAGGUUGGUUUAGUGGAUGAGGGCACCAGCUGAGCUGCCACGCUAUAGCGCAUUGGAUUCUUCAUGUUACAAAAUAUGUAUAACAUGUGAUCAACCCCCUCCCCUGACACUUUUCCCCCAAGGGACACACCCCUUGGGAGACUCUGUAUCCACUUGUAUAUAAGCAAGUAACUCUGUAAUAAAGACAACAGUUCUGUCA